rnacentral:rRNA from 1 species
CCUACGGGGGGCAGCAGUGAGGAAUAUUGGUCAAUGGCCGGAAGCCUGAACCAGCCAAGUCGCGUGUAGGAAGACGGCCCUACGGGUUGUAAACCUCUUUUGUCCGGGAGCAACGCGCCCCACGUGUAGUUCAUUGCGAGUACCCGAAGAAAAAGCAUCGGCUAACUCCGUGCCAGCAGCCGCGGUAAUACGGAGGCUGCGAGCGUUAUCCGGAUUUAUUGGGUUUAAAGGGUGCGCAGGCGGAGGUGCAAGUCAGCGGUCAAAUUGCGGGGCUCAACCCCGCACUGCCGUGGAAACUGCAGCCCUUGAGUGCGCGAGAAGCAGGCGGAAUGCGUGGUGUAGCGGUGAAAUGCAUAGAUAUCACGCAGAACCCCGAUUGCGAAGGCAGCAUACCGGCGCGCAACUGACGCUCAUGCACGAAAGCGUGGGUAUCGAACAGGAUUAGAUACCCGGGUAGUC